rnacentral:lncRNA from 1 species
CCCCGUAAGAAUGCAGUCUAACGCCCACACAAAGAUGAAGCAAUUCAGGACUAUCACUCUUUGUUGCAUUCAGCUAACAAUACACACAUACAAAGGUAUUUGUGAGUAGAAAUCAAACUGGAUGGUCUUCGAAGGAUAGAUAGGAGGGGUUGAGGAUAUGGGAUUAAAAGCAAACAAAAGGUGCACCUGCCGCUCAUGGCGGUUCUUUGAGAAAGAGGAGAGAACCAUUCGGGAGAAGCUCCAGGCCCAGCUCCAUCCUCCCAGCAGCCACCACCAGUUAGCUACCAAGCCAACAGAAGCAGCAAUGAAUCAGCACAGAUGAGAAGUAGACAAAUAGAAACAGAUGGAAAGAAGCAGACGGAAUGAAGCAGAAGGAAGAAGCAGACGGAAGGAAACAGGCGGAAAAAGCAGAUGGAAAGAAGCAGACGGAAGAAGCAGACGGAAAGAAGCAGACGAGCGCCAACGUGUCCUCCACAAGGAGCAACACCACACUCACAGGAAGUUUCGAAAGCUUCAGUCGGCACGCGGGCAACUGGGCCAUCGAUUACAUCGGAGAAACGUCAUCGUGCCCGGACAAAGAAGUGGCGGCUCGCUCACGCAACAGAACAGCUCUCCUUCAAGUGCCUGUAAUUAUAACUGACCUUGACAGACCACUGUUCUGCAGGGCCAGAAAGAAAGGAGACAAUCUGCUUCUUUCAGUCUCAUUUAUCUCUCCUUUUCUUUACUUUCUUCUCCCCUCUCUUUCGCUCUUUCUCCUCUCCUCUCCUUUUCUCCUCCUCUUAUCUUCUCUCUCUUUCUCGCUCUCUACCUCGUUUUCAUGUUGUAGGCAGGAGAGGUAGAAAAAAUUAUUUCAGCU